rnacentral:rRNA from 1 species
GACGAACGCUGGCGGCGUGCUUAACACAUGCAAGUCGAACGGAAAGGCCCUGCUUGCAGGGUACUCGAGUGGCGAACGGGUGAGUAACACGUGGGUGAUCUGCCCUGCACUUCGGGAUAAGCCUGGGAAACUGGGUCUAAUACCGGAUAGGAGCCAUUUUUAGUGUGAUGGUUGGAAAGUUUUUUCGGUGUAGGAUGAGCUCGCGGCCUAUCAGCUUGUUGGUGGGGUAAUGGCCUACCAAGGCGGCGACGGGUAGCCGGCCUGAGAGGGUGGACGGCCACAUUGGGACUGAGAUACGGCCCAGACUCCUACGGGAGGCAGCAGUGGGGAAUAUUGCACAAUGGGCGCAAGCCUGAUGCAGCGACGCCGCGUGGGGGAUGACGGCCUUCGGGUUGUAAACUCCUUUCGCUAGGGACGAAGCUUUUUGCGACGGUACCUAGAUAAGAAGCACCGGCUAACUACGUG